UAAUAAAAUAAUACUGGUAGCUUCAGGCCUCACUUUUCCCUUCAAAAAAGAAAAACUCUCACUCUCUCUCCUCUAAAAAAUGAACCCUAAACCCCCAAAUUGAUUGCUCGAAUUUUCUUCUGCUCUAAUCUCUUGCUCGAAUCAUUUGCUCAAAUCAUUUGCUCGAAUCUUCUGCUAGAAUCAUUUGCUUGAAUCAUUUUCUCGGAUCGAAUCUCUUGCUCGAAUCUCAACCAAAUCGAAAGUUUCAGGAACUUGAGGCACAAGCUUGUGAAAAUGAGAAUGAGGUCAUCGAAAUCAAUGGUUCUAGUUUAAAUGUAACCACCUCAUCCCAAGAUAAUGAUGAUCCCAUAUAUUUAAAGUUAUGGGAGAAGUCAAAGAGGCAUAAAAAUGGGAAGUUUGACAAUGAGGCCGAGGAGAAGUCAUGGAGUGUGAUACUUGAUAGAGUUUGCAGUUAGGGGAUCAAGUCAAUGUUUUGGGGAUGGAGGACACCAAUGCAAGGAUGAGAAGAUUGCUUGAUAGACAACUGGUUAAUACUUUUGUAUAUAUUUGGUAUUAAAUAUUAUUAAAUAUUUGCUAUUAUAGAAAACUUGGUUAAUACUUUUGUAUAUAUAAUGACAAAAUUAAAAUUUAUGCCUA